rnacentral:snRNA from 1 species
AUACUUACCUGGAAGGGGAGAUACCACGAUCAUGAA